UACGUAGGGGGCGAGCGUUGUUCGGAAUUAUUGGGCGUAAAGCGCGUGUAGGCGGUUCGGUAAGUCGGAUGUGAAAGCCCUGGGCUCAACCCAGGGCCUGCAUCCGCGACUGCCGGGCUGGAGUACGGGAGGGGAGAGCGGAAUUCCUGGUGUAGCGGUGGAAUGCGUAGAUAUCAGGAGGAACACCGGUGGCGAAGGCGGCUCUCUGGACCGUAACUGACGCUGAGACGCGAAAGCUAGGGGAGCAAACAGG
rnacentral:rRNA from 1 species